GGAGAGAUGGCCGAGCGGCUGAAGGCGCUUGAUUCGAAAUCAAGUAUACAUGCAAGUGUAUCGGGGGUUCGAAUCCCCCUCUCUCCG
rnacentral:tRNA from 1 species